rnacentral:rRNA from 1 species
UUUGUAGCAAUACAGAUUGAUGGCGACCGGCGCACGGGUGAGUAACGCGUAUGCAACUUACCUAUCAGAGGGGGAUAGCCCGGCGAAAGUCGGACUAAUACCGCAUAAAAUAGGGGUUCCACAUGGAAAUAUUUGUUAAAGAAUUAUCGCUGAUAGAUAGGCAUGCGUUCCAUUAGGCAGUUGGCGGGGUAACGGCCCACCAAACCGACGAUGGGUAGCCGAGCUGAGAGGCUGAUCGGCCACACUGGAACUGAGACACGGUCCAGACUCC